UACGUAGGGUGCGAGCGUUGUCCGGAAUUAUUGGGCGUAAAGAGCUUGUAGGCGGUCUGUCGCGUCUGCUGUGAAAAUCCGGGGCUCAACCCCGGACUUGCAGUGGGUACGGGCAGGCUGGAGUUCGGUAGGGGAGACUGGAAUUCCUGGUGUAGCGGUGAAAUGCGCAGAUAUCAGGAGGAACACCGGUGGCGAAGGCGGGUCUCUGGGCCGAUACUGACGCUGAGGAGCGAAAGCGUGCGGAGCGAACAGG
rnacentral:rRNA from 1 species